rnacentral:misc_RNA from 1 species
AACGCACAUUGCGCCCUUUGGUAUUCCGAAGGGCAUGCCUGUUCGAGCGUCAUUAUCACCUCUCAAGCCUGGCUUGCUGUUGGACUCCGUUAAGCUUUUAGCUACUACUGGUCCCAAAGAUAAUGACGGCGUCUGUGAGGACCCCAGUACACUGAGCUUUUUAAGCACGUAUUAGGUGGGAGUCCAGGCCCGGUCUUACUUAUUUUUAUCACUAAGGUUGACCUCGGAUCAGGUAGGAAUACCCGCUGAACUUAA